CCAACGGGUCUUCAGGCCCCAAAAUGAUGAAGUUUUGACUCAAAAUUUACGACAAAAAGAGACCCAUUUUUGAAAUUUGAAACAACAACACGACGACUUCUGCCGUAACAACCAUUCGCCGGUAAUCCCCCCCCCCCCCCCCCCCCCCCCAAUAGUUUCCGGCCACGAGGCCAUUUAUUCCCGACUGCGUCUUCCUUCCGUCAAAGAAUAAAAUCAUCUUAUCAACCCAACCCAGAAUGUUUCCACGGGACCAUCAUUGAUUUGUGUGCGACAUUUGUCUUUCAGCUCAAUUCUUGAGUACUUCGUUGGGCUCAUCUUCUCGUUGGCGCCGAUUGGGCCAUACGACGCGCCACGUGGCCAACUCAUUCAUCGGUCUGACUGCCCCAUCACAACCCUUAAUCUCGAAUUCGCAGACACUUGUCUCUCAUUUUGUCUUUUCUCUUUCUCUCAUGCGAAUCUCCUUGUGCGUAACAGCCGAAUCACGCCCCUUCAAUUCCUCCAUUCCGAUUCGCAUUUCCAUAAAACCCUAAAUACGACGUACUCUUCUUAAUCAAUUUUUUAAUUCCUUUUAGGUCUUUGUUAGAAUUCGUCUUGUGUUCCACCAAAAAACCCAUCAUCCGGUUGAAUUUCUUUAUCUGUUUCAAGGGGUAUCUGUUAAAGAUUCGGAAAUGGAGGCGUUGUAUGAGGAACAACCACCGCCUUUUGAGAUGGGUGUGGUUGUUUCUAAAAGGGUUUUUGACCAAAUUGGUGAAGGUUAUGAUUGUGUUCAAGUUCUUGUGGAUCAGUUUCAGAAAAUUGGCUUAAUUGUUGAUAGAGUUGCUGGCCUUAAUGAUGAAUUCCUCAAGAUUGCAGCACCUGUUGAAGUUUUAGGGAAGGCGGCCGCUGAAUUACGGUUGAAAAAAAGAACUCAAAUAGGGGUGGAUUUACAGUUUGAAUGGGAUGAGGCUGAUGCGUUUAUCAAACAAUCUGACGGGUCGUUGUUCAGUUGGUGUGAGCGUUUUCGUUGUUAUAAGCACAUGAUAUAUGGAAUCGUCAACAAGAGCGAUUCGGCUAUCAUUUUAAAGUCCGACUGUAGAGAAAUUAGAUGGCAGCCUGGGAAGCGUCUUUUGUGGAAGUUGGAAAAAGAAGCCAUUGUUAAAGAAGUCUUUCCUAUCCAUGAUGAGAUAAAGAGGAAGCGGCUUUUGAAAUGUUGGGCUCUGAGCUGGCGGGACCUUACACAUCAACCCCUUGACGAAAUCUAUGCUUACUAUGGAGCGAAGAUUGCAAUAUAUUUUGCUUUCAUUGGGAUGUACACAAAGUGGUUGCUUUUCCCGGCUGCAUUUGGAAUCUUCGUGCAAUUGGUUGAUUUUGGAUCUUUGCAAUUCUUGGUACUUCCCUUUUUCUUUAUAUGCAUAAUUUCAUGGGCUGUCUUCUUUCUCCAAUUCUGGAAGCGGAAAAACUCUACCCUUUUGGCCAGGUGGCAUAUUUGUUAUUCAGUUGGAGCAGCUUAUAAAUAUAUGGAUACCGAAUGGAGUUCGUUUCAUUCGUCUGUAGGAUCGAUAAAGUUCGGGGCUGAUAAAACCGAGAAAGAGAAGUUCCAAAGAGAGGAAUGGUUUGGUCAUAUGCUACGAUUCAGAAACGAUGCGAUUAUUAUAUUGAGUAUUAUAUGCCUCCAGCUUCCUUUUGAACUGGCGUAUGCACAUUUGUACGAGAUCAUUGGAUCCGAUAUCAUAAAGUUUGGGUUAACGGCAAUUUACCUAUUUGCCAUUCAAUAUUUCACACAAAUUGGGGGGAAGGUGUCGGUGAAGUUAAUCAAGCGUGAAAAAAACGAGAGCUCUGAAUAUAGGGCUAACAGUUUGAUUUACAAGGUGUUUGGGUUAUACUUUAUGCAGUCAUACAUUGGACUACUAUAUCAUGCAAUUCUGCAUCGCAACUUCAUGACUCUUCGUCAAGUCAUAACUCAACGUCUCAUCAUAUCAGAGGUGCUAGAAAAUCUGAUGGAAAACUCUCUACCCUACAUCAAAUACAGCUACAGAAAAUACAGAGCUGUUCGAAACAAGAGAAAAAGGGAAAAGGGAAUGGCAGCCAGAAAAUCUUAUUUUAAUUCUAGGGUUGAGAAGGAGUAUUUUAAGCCUAUAUAUUCCGCCAGUGUUGGUGAUGAACUCGAAGAUGGGCUCUUUGAUGAAUUUCUUGAGCUGGCUUUGCAGUUUGGAAUGAUUAUGAUGUUUGCUUGUGCUUUUCCUCCUGCGUUUGCUUUUGCUGCGUUGAACAAUGUUACAGAAAUUAGAGCAGACGCGUUAAAGAUUCUUGCCAUGUAUAGAAGACCAGUUCCUCGAGUUGCUGCAACAAUCGGGGCCUGGCUUAACAUAUUUCAGUUGUAUCAAUAUGCACCAACUGCAUACUUCUAGUAUGUUUAUACGAUCGGGAGGGGAAUUGGAAUAUAUCUCCUGGUCUUGCAGCCAUCCUCAUCAUGGAACAUGUACUCCUUCUCAUCAAAUUUGGCUUCUCAAAGAUCGUCCCCGAGGAACCUGAUUGGGUAAAAGCAAACCGAAUGAAGAAUGCAACUCAAGCACAAAACAUGUGCUCUAAGCAGCUUUUGAGGAACAUUUCGGGCCGAACACUCGUUACAUGUACACCAAAUGCUGAUUAAAUGUACAUUAAUGUUAGAAUCAGUAUAUACCACCUUAGAUUAGUCCCUUUUUGAGGUUAUAAUUUUUGUAUGUAAGAAAAAAUCUCAGUCUUUAGAUUGUAGCAUAUAGUAUAUUUCCUGUCAUUUAGUUGUUUAAACUUUCUUUAUUGAAUUAUAGAGUACAUUGAUCCAA